CACGCACACACAGGUACACAUAGAUAUACACGCAUAGCCCUUGUGAACAGGCUGGGGCUUGGUUCUCCUUCCUACCUCCGUAAACAUUAAUUAUGCAGCAAUCAAAAUAAUUUUGCAUGCAUAAUGCUGACCUCAUUCACUAGAGGGCAACAAAACCCCAGCUUAAGGAACUUCACCUUCUGCUUCCAGUGACAGGAAGCAUUUAAUAAGAUGCCACAUAGAUUUUAUAAUGAAUACCCUAUUAAUUUUACAUAAGUGUGAAGUUAUAUUUGAAAAUCCAGUUAUGCUCCUGAAUAGACGUGAUCUGGCCUUCACAACAUGUGGAAACCACCACCGAGGACUGGCCCAGAUAGAAGUGGCGUGGCAUGGCGCCUCUCCUUCCAAUCCGCUGGGCAACAACGUGGCCCAUCGGUGCUGAAGUUUUUAACAAUCUCCUUUGAAAUGUAACUCAUUAUACAAAAGCAGAACUAAAUAAAAAAUACUCCAGAGAGGGAACAGAUUGUUAGCUAUAGAUUAGAAGUGUAGCCUAAUCCUUCACAAGCAUUAAAUAUUUAACAUCAUUGCACCACAGGUGCCAAGAAGAUGUCAGCAUUGUUUAAUUAGACUUAAUUAAACAUAAGGAAAAAUCUAAUACUAACGCAGGUCGAGUUUUUUAAUCGAUUUCAAAACCUCCCCCUUCGCG
rnacentral:lncRNA from 1 species